UUNGCCCUAUGAAAAAAGCCUUCCUGGUCCAU
rnacentral:piRNA from 1 species